rnacentral:rRNA from 1 species
GACGGGACCGCACAAGCGGUGGAUGAUGUGGUUAAUUCGAUGCAACGCGAAAACCUUACCACCUUGACAUGUACGGAAUCCUUUAGAGAUAGAGGAGUGCUCGAAAGAGAGCCGUAACACAGGUGCUGCAUGGCUGUCGUCAGCUCGUGUCGUGAGAUGUUGGGUUAAGUCCCGCAACGAGCGCAACCCUUGUCAUUAGUUGCUACAUUCAGUUGGGCACUCUAAUGAGACUGCCGGUGACAAACCGGAGGAAGGUGGGGAUGACGUCAAGUCCUCAUGGCCCUUAUAGGUGGGGCUACACACGUCAUACAAUGGUCGGUACAGAGGGUUGCCAAGCCGCGAGGUGGAGCGAACCCCAAAAAGCCGGUCUCAGUUCGGAUUGGAGUCUGCAACUCGACUGCGUGAAGUCGGAAUCGCUAGUAAUCGCGGAUCAGCAUGUCGCGGUGAAUACGUUCCCGGGUCUU